rnacentral:rRNA from 1 species
UAUUCAACGGCCGCGGUACCCUAACCGUGCAAAGGUAGCGAAAUCAUUUGUCUAUUAAUUGUAGACCAGUAUGAAAGGCCACAUGAGAGCCACACUGUCUCUUGCAACUACUCAAUUAAACUGAUCUUUUAGUCCAAAAGCUAAAAUACCUCUAUAAGACCAGAAGACCCUGUGAAGCUUAAACUAACCCGCCAAACCUUAUGGCGGCCACUUUCGGUUGGGGCGACCAUGGAACAAAAAAGAACUUCCAAUACAUGAAUAUUCUUCAUAUUAAGGCCAACAAGCCACACAAUGACCCAGUCCAUCUGAACAAAGAACCAAGUUACUCCAGGGAUAACAGCGCCAUCUUCUUCAAGAGCCCAUAUCAAAAAGAAGGUUUACGACCUCGAUGUUGGAUCAGGACAUCCUGGCGGUGCAGCCGCUACCAAAGGUUCGUUUGUUCAACGAUUAACAGUCCUACGUGAUCUGAGUUCAGACCGGCUU